GGCCCUGCCAGAUAUGUCGUGGCUGUUGGCGCCCUCUGUGCUCUUACGUCCAGUCUCCUAGGUGAUGUGUUCCCCAUGCCUCGGGGGAUGUACGUGAUGGCAGAGGAUGGAAUCCUUUUUCAGGGACUUUCCAGAUCCACGACUGCACCCGAAUACCCAUCAUGGCCAUCAUGUCUUCUGGCAUCUUUGCAGGUGAGACUCCACUACACCUUGGCUGGGGGUCAUGGACUCAAGAGGAGCUAAGAUUCUUCUAGCUUCGUGUCCUGCAUCUGCUGAAGUUGGGAAAGAGUUGGAUUAACUGUCUGAUAUUGGAUAAGUAUAGGGGCUGCUGUC